rnacentral:tRNA from 1 species
GCAUUGGUGUUUCAGUGGUAGAAUUCUCACCUUCCAUCUGGGAGACCUAGCUUCGAUUCCCAGCCAACGCA